rnacentral:rRNA from 1 species
GGGUGCUUGCACCUGGUGGCGAGUGGCGAACGGGUGAGUAAUACAUCGGAACGUACCUUAUCGUGGGGGAUAACGCAGCGAAAGUUGCGCUAAUACCGCAUACGCCCUGAGGGGGAAAGCGGGGGACCGUAAGGCCUCGCGCGAUUAGAGCGGCCGAUGUCUGAUUAGCUUGUUGGUGAGGUAAAAGCUCACCAAGGCGAUGAUCAGUAGCUGGUCUGAGAGGACGAUCAGCCACACUGGGACUGAGACACGGCCCAGACUCC